UAUAUUGCUCAUUUAUUCUCUCCAUGUUUAAAAAGCAUUUCAAAAUAACAAAAUUAUUAUAUACCCCAUACAAUUCAGGGUAGGGUUGGGCUCAGGGAACCGCUUCAUUGUUCACAGGGCGGGCAGAACCCUCUGUCUCCAAACAUUUUUUGCACUAGUUUGACUUCCUGCUGUGAGUCCUGGUCCCAGUCUUGCUUGAAACCCCGUGAGGUUAAGUUCACCACCCAAGGGGGGCUGGAAUUUUCCCAGCCAUAAGGAUGAGCUUCUAGUUCAGAGGUGAAAGAGGGCCUCCUGGAAGGAACGAAUAUAGCUGCUGCAGCAGAAACAGGAGGAGACAAGGGCAGAGGGCACUGGGGCUGAACCACAGGGCCUCUGGGGGAUCGUGGAGCUCUCAGGAUCCAGCAUUUCCCUGUGCUCAACUGUGGGUUUCCAUUCAGUAGAACAAGGUCUGCCUUAGAGAGCAGCAGAAACUUUCUUCUAGUAGUUUCCAAAACCUGAAGACAGGGCCCAGCAGGAACUUCGAAUGGACCCAGGAGCUCCCAGGAUGCCAGGGAGCUACAAGCCCUUGAUUACUGAGACGGCCCAGCCAAUGGGCCCAGCUCCCGGGAGGCACGGUCAGGUAGUUUUGCAAGGACAGCCCACGACUAGGACAGACAGACCCGCACAAUCACACUGGAGUUGGUAAAAAGGACUCCAUAUUGCUCGUUCCCGAACUCCAGGUUUGACACCCAUUGUUCAAAAGACACAAAGCGAACGCCCUUCUUGAGGUUGGAGAACACAUGGCUGCCCUACAGACAGAAAAAGCUCCAGCCAGUGUCCGUAAUGCAGUCACAAGAGAGACCAGAGCCAGAAACUCCCAGCAGAGCCCUACUCGUAGAACCCACGAGAGAGACUGACCUCAAAGGGGACUCUCCUCCACCGCCGGAUGGGAAAAGGAUUCGAAGAGAAAUGAUGCAGGACAGCCUGGUUGACGUCUAGAAUUUGCACAAUUAGCUGAUAUAUACGUAUACGGAUCAAGGAUCACGAAGGGUGCUGAAACAGCUCAAACUUCAGAGCACUGGCUUCGUGCUUGCCGUCAGUCAGCGCUCAGCAGAAGGGCAGUUUUGAUCAUCACACUCACCAGGCAGAGACACAGAUCUCAAUCUUUCCACUGUCCAGGAGUUCUGGCCAGAAACCCUCCUCCUCCAGGUCCAACACUUCCUUCUUUUGAAA